UAACAAAUUUCUACUACAGAAAAUGGGUGA
rnacentral:piRNA from 1 species